CCUACGGGUGGCAGCAGUCGAGAAUCAUUCACAAUGGGGGAAACCCUGAUGGUGCGACGCCGCGUGGGGGAAUGAAGGUCUUCGGAUUGUAAACCCCUGUCAUGUGGGAGCAAAGUAAAAAGAUAGUACCACAAGAGGAAGAGACGGCGAACUCUGGGCCAGCAGCCGCGGUAAUACAGAGGUCUCAAGCGUUGUUCGGAAGCACUGGGCGGAAAGCGUGCGGAGGCGGUUUCGUAAGUCGGGUGUGAAAGGCGCGGGCUCAACCCGCGGACGGCACAUGAGACUGCGAGACUAGAGUACUGGAGGGGGAACCGGAAUUCUCGGUGUCGCCGU
rnacentral:rRNA from 1 species